rnacentral:rRNA from 1 species
CGCGGCCUAUCAGCUUGUUGGUGAGGUAACGGCUCACCAAGGCGACGACGGGUAGCCGGCCUGAGAGGGUGACCGGCCACACUGGGACUGAGACACGGCCCAGACUCCUACGGGAGGCAGCAGUGGGGAAUAUUGCACAAUGGGCGCAAGCCUGAUGCAGCAACGCCGCGUGAGGGACGACGGCCUUCGGGUUGUAAACCUCUUUUAGCAGGGAAGAAGCGAAAGUGACGGUACCUGCAGAAAAAGCACCGGCUAACUACGUGCCAGCAGCCGCGGUAAUACGUAGGGUGCAAGCGUUGUCCGGAAUUAUUGGGCGUAAAGAGCUCGUAGGCGGUUUGUUGCGUCUGCUGUGAAAAUCCGAGGCUCAACCUCGGACCUGCAGUGGGUACGGGCAAACUAGAGUGCGGUAGGGGAGAUUGGAAUUCCUGGUGUAGCGGUGGAAUGCGCAGAUAUCAGGAGGAACACCAAUGGCGAAGGCAGAUCUCUGGGCCGUAACUGACGCUGAGGAGCGAAAGCGUGGGGAGCGAACAGGAUUAGAUACCCUGGUAGUCCACGCCGUAAACGGUGGGAACUAGAUGUGGGGUCCGUUCCACGGAUUCCGUGUCGCAGCUAACGCAUUAAGUUCCCCGCCUGGGGAGUACGG